GAUGAACGCUGGCGGUAUGCCUAACACAUGCAAGUCGUACGAGAGUUUUUAACUCUAGUGGCGGACGGGUGAGUAACACGUGAGAAUUUGCCUUUAGGAGGGGGAUAACAAUUGGAAACGAAUGCUAAUACCCCAUAUGCUUUUGAGUGAAAUGGAUUUUAUCCGCCUAGAGAGAAGCUCGCGGCUGAUUAGCUUGUUGGUAAGGUAAGAGCUUACCAAGGCGACGAUCAGUAUCUGGUUUGAGAGGACGAUCAGACACACUGGAACUGAGACACGGUCCAGACUCCUACGGGAGGCAGCAGUGGGGAAUUUUCCGCAAUGGGCGAAAGCCUGACGGAGCAAUACCGCGUGAGGGAAGAAUGCCUAUGGGUUGUAAACCUCUUUCUUAACGAAGAAAUUCUGACGGUAGUUAAGGAAUAAGCACCGGCUAACUCCGUG
rnacentral:rRNA from 1 species